GGUCUCGAGGGGUGCUGCAACAGUAAAGUAAUAUACUGCCAGGCUCGAGCAUGUCAUUUAUUGAACGGCAUCCGCGAAUU
rnacentral:ncRNA from 2 species